AGAGUUUGAUCCUGGCUCAGGAUGAACGCUGGCGGCGUGCCUAACACAUGCAAGUCGAACGGAGUUAUUUGCUGAUGAAGCUUCGGCAGAUUCUUAAACAACUUAGUGGCGGACGGGUGAGUAACGCGUGGGCAACCUGCCUUAUACCGGGGGAUAGCAGUUGGAAACGACUGAUAAUACCGCAUAAGCGCACAGCAUCGCAUGAUGUCGUGUGAAAAACUCCGGUGGUAUAAGAUGGACCCGCGUCAGAUUAGAUAGUUGGUGAGGUAACGGCUCACCAAGUCGACGAUCUGUAGCCGGACUGAGAGGUCGAACGGCCACAUUGGGACUGAGACACGGCCCAGACUCCUACGGGAGGCAGCAGUGGGGGAUAUUGCACAAUGGAGGAAACUCUGAUGCAGCGACGCCGCGUGAGUGAAGAAGUAUUUCGGUAUGUAAAGCUCUAUCAGCAGGGAAGAAAGCCUCGCAAGAGGGAUGACGGUACCUGACUAAGAAGCCCCGGCUAACUACGUGCCAGCAGCCGCGGUAAUACGUAGGGGGCAAGCGUUAUCCGGAUUUACUGGGUGUAAAGGGAGCGCAGACGGUAUAUCAAGUCUGGAGUGAAACCCCACAGCUCAACUGUGGGCUUGCUUUGGAAACUGGUAAACUAGAGUGCUGGAGAGAUAAGCGGAAUUCCUGGUGUAGCGGUGAAAUGCGUAGAUAUCAGGAGGAACACCGGUGGCGAAGGCGGCUUAUUGGACAGUAACUGACGUUGAGGCUCGAAGGCGUGGGGAGCAAACAGGAUUAGAUACCCUGGUAGUCCACGCGGUAAACGAUGAAUACUAGGUGUUGGGAGACAUAGUCUUUCAGUGCCGUCGCUAACGCAGUAAGUAAUCCACCUGGGGAGUACGGCCGCAAGGCUGAAACUCAAAGGAAUUGACGGGGGCCCGCACAAGCAGUGGAGUAUGUGGAUUAAUUCGAAGCAACGCGAAGAACCUUACCAGGUCUUGACAUCGUACGCAUAGCUCAGAGAUGAGUGAAAUCUCUUCGGAGACGUAUAGACGGGUGGUGCAUGGUUGUCGUCAGCUCGUGUCGUGAGAUGUUGGGUUAAGUCCCGCAACGAGCGCAACCCUUAUGUUUAGUUGCUACGCAAGAGCACUCUAGACAGACUGCCGUUGACAAAACGGAGGAAGGUGGGGAUGACGUCAAAUCAUCAUGCCCCUUAUGACCUGGGCCUCACACGUACUACAAUGGCUGCAAACAAAGGGAAGCGAAGCAGUGAUGCGGAGCAAAUCCCCAAAAGCAGUCUUAGUUCGGAUUGUAGGCUGCAACUCGCCUACAUGAAGUCGGAAUUGCUAGUAAUCGUAGAUCAGCAUGCUACGGUGAAUACGUUCCCGGGCCUUGUACUCACCGCCCGUCA
rnacentral:rRNA from 1 species